rnacentral:lncRNA from 1 species
GGUCAGGGACAGGGAUGGGGACAGGAGGGGACACAAUGGGAUGGGGACAGGGAUAGGGACAGGGAAUACGGACAGGAGAGGACAGGGACACGAAAGGGACAAGGACAGGGACAGAAGGGGACACACAGGGAUGGGGACAGGGCUGGGGACAUGAAGGGACAGAGAAUAAGGUCAAGAGGGGACAGGGACAGGAUGGGACACAAAGGGACAGGGACGGGAGGGGACAGGGAAUAAGGAGAGGAGAGGACAGGGACAGGAGGGGACACAAACACAAAGGGACAGGGAAUAAGGACAGCAGGGGACAGGGACAGGGACACAUCCCCUGUUCCCCGCCCCACCCCCGUGUCCCCUCAGCCCCAUGUCCCCCUGAGGAGGGGACAGAAGCCACCUCUGACCGCUGAGAGGGGCGGGUUGGGGACACGGAUGUCACCUCCGGGCAUCCUUGGCUUGGAGCAUCCUGUCCCCUCUGCCCCAUCCUUGUCCCCAUCCCUUUCGCCAUUUUUGUCGCCUUUGUCCCAUCCCCUGUCCCCUCCCUGUCCCCUCUGUCCCCGUCACGCCACUCCCAUCUCAAUUCUCUCAAUUUUAUUCCAUUUUUUCCUUUUUUUCUUUUUCUUAAUUUUUUUUUUUUCCUGGUUUUGGGUUCGUUUUCCUUUCGCUCUGUUCUGAACCCCCAAAAAACAACCCCAAAAAAUCCCAAAUGUGGGGGCGGGGCCGCUUUUGCGGCCGGGCGGGGACAGAGGGUGACAAUGACACCGCGGGGGGACUGGGAUGAGACUGGGGAAACUGGGAAUGAACUGGGAGAACUGGGAAUAGGGACUGGGAAUGGGGACGCCAAACUGGGAGGGUCUGGAAAUGGGGUGGCUGUAAAAAAAGGGCUCAACCCCCAAAAUAAAGCAAUAAAACCAGGGGAGAGUGGAACAGAGGGAGGGAUUUGGGGCAUUUUGUGGGGUUUUGAAAUAUUUUAUGGAAUUUUGUAAGAUUUUAUGGGUUUUCCGAAGAAAUUUUGUAGGAUUCGGAGCGGUUUUAGGGUUUUAUGGGCAUCGGGAGCCGCUCCUGCUGUCGCUUUUGCGGACUGGCUGUCGCUGUCCCAGUUCCCGUGGUGGCCCCGCGAGGGAGCUCCAGGACAGGAAUUUUGGGGGAUUUUGAAAUAUUUUAUGGAUUUUUGUGGGAAUUCUGUGUGAUUUUGUGGUAUUUUGUAGAAAUUCGAAACUUUUUAAGGCUUUUUUGGGCUUCUGAGCCGCUCCUGCCGUCACU